UAAUGAAAUCAUACACUUGAAAGUUAAUUAUUUUACUACUCACAGAGCAAAUGAACGGACAUGAUGAAAAGAUUCCCAACUUUGUUUUUUCCUCACAACUUGUAACACUAUAGUACUAAUAUUAAUUGUUAAUAUUGUUGUUUUCCUCAGCCACUACACAACUUGUUCUAAUCCUCACUGUCAUGUACAAUAAUUAUUGUUUUUUUUAGAGUUGCCAAGUUUGAAGUUUGAAAAGUAACACGAGAACCUUUCAUAGAUAAUAAUUGAAAACAAAUAAUUUAGCAUAUUCAUCUUCCUAAAGCAAACUUUGAUUCAUAUCCUCACUGUCCAAACUUUGAUUCAUUUCUGUUCACUUACCUGCAAAAUGACUGAUGUUUUACUUGGAACUGUGAUUCAAAUCCUCGGAUCUUUUGUUCGAGAGGAGCUUUCGACCUUUUUGGGUGUUGGAGAAUUGACACAAAAGUUAUGUGGAAAUCUCACCGCAAUUCGUGCUGUCCUCCAAGAUGCUGAAGAGAAGCAAAUAACAAGCCGUGUUGUGAAAGAUUGGCUGCAGAAGCUGACUGAUGUUGCUUAUGUUCUUGACGAUAUAUUGGAUGAUUGUACAAUAAAAUCAAAAGCACAUGGAGACAACAAGUGGAUCACCCGUUUCCAUCCUAAGAUGAUUUUGGCUCGUAGGGAUAUUGGAAAGAGGAUGAAGGAGGUUGCUAAAAAGAUUGAUGUUAUUGCUGAAGAAAGGAUCAAGUUUGGAUUACAAGCGGUAGUCAUGGAAGAUCGCCAACGAGGAGAUGAUAAAUGGCGCCAAACUUUUUCUGUCGUCACUGAACCGAAAGUAUAUGGAAGAGAUCGUGACAGAGAGCAAGUUGUUGAGUUUCUUCUAAGUCAUGCUGUCGAUAGUGAAGAACUCUCUGUCUAUUCCAUUGUUGGUGUUGGUGGGCAAGGAAAAACAACACUUGCUCAAGUGGUGUUCAAUGAGGAAAGGGUAGAUACACACUUUAACUUGAAAAUAUGGGUGUGUGUUUCUGAGGAUUUUAAUAUGAUGAAAGUUUUGCAGUCCAUCAUAGAAUCCACCGAUGGAAAAAAUCCAGAUCUCUCGUCUUUAGAAUCAAUGCAAAAGAAGGUUAAAAAUAUUUUGCAAAACAAAAGAUAUCUACUUGUUCUUGAUGAUGUGUGGAAUGAAGACCAAGAGAAAUGGAAUCAGUUCAAGUAUUUUCUGCAACGUGGAAAUGGCACGAAAGGUGCAUCAGUUUUGGUCACAACCAGACUUGACAUUGUUGCAUCAAUCAUGGGAACUUAUCCUGCUCAUCAUUUGUUAGGCUUAUCUGAUGAUGCCAUCUGGUAUUUGUUUAAACAAAAAGCUUUUGAAACAAAUAGAGAAGAGCGUGCAGAGCUUGUGGCAAUAGGCAAGGAGUUAGUGAGAAAAUGUGUGGGUUCGCCUCUUGCUGCCAAAGUACUAGGAAGCCUUUUUGCGCUUUAAAAGUGAGGAACAUCAAUGGCUUUCUGUAAAGGAAAGUAAGUUUUGGAGCUUAUCCGAGGACAAUCCUAUCAUGUUUGUUUUGAGACUCAGCUACUUUAAUUUAAAAUUAUCACUGAGGCCGUGUUUUACUUUUUGUGCGGUUUUUCCUAAGGAUUUUGAAAUGGUGAAGGAAGAACUGAUCCAUCUUUGGUUGGCUAAUGGAUUCAUCUCUUCCGUUGGAAAUUUAGAGGUGGAGCAUGUUGGUCAUGAAGUGUGGAAUGAAUUAUAUGCGAGAUCAUUUUUUCAAGAAGUAAAAACUGAUAAAAAGGGUGAGGUUACAUUCAAAAUGCAUGAUUUAAUUCAUGAUUUAGCUCAGUCCAUUACAGGAGAAGAAUGUAUGGCUUUUGAUGAUAAAAGCUUGACUAAUUUGACUGGUAGAGUUCACCAUAUAAGUUGUUCCUUUAUUAAUUUGUAUAAACCAUUCAACUACAACACCAUCCCUUUUAAGAAAGUUGAAUCUUUGCGAACUUUUCUUGAGUUUUAUGUGAAGCUUGGAGAGUCAGCUCCAUUCCCAUCAAUACCUCCUCUUAGAGCAUUGCGUACAAGCUCUUCGGAACUUUCGACACUAAAGAGUUUGACACAUCUAAGGUAUUUGCAAAUUUGUAGAAGUUUCAUCAAGACCUUGCCAGAGUCUAUUUGUAGGUUGCAGAAUUUGCAAAUACUGAAACUUGUUAACUGUCCUUUACUUUCUAGUCUUCCCAAAAAAUUGACACAACUUCAAGAUCUCAGGCAUCUUGUGAUUAAAGAUUGCUAUUCAUUAGAUUCAAUGCCUUCCAAAAUCAGUAAGUUAACUUGUCUCAAAACUUUAAGCACUUUCAUUGUGGGUUUGAAGGCGGGGUUUGGUUUAGCAGAGUUACAUGACUUACAACUAGGAGGCAAGCUACACAUCAGAGGCCUUGAGAAUGUAUCUAGUGAAUGGGAUGCUAAAGAAGCUAAUUUGAUUGGUAAAAAGGAGUUAAAUCGCUUGUACUUGUCAUGGGGUAGUCACGCUAAUUCGCAGGGUAUUGAUACUGAUGUUGAGCAAGUACUUGAAGCCCUUGAGCCUCACACUGGUCUCAAGGGUUUUGGGAUUGAGGGUUAUGUGGGAAUACAUUUUCCACAUUGGAUGAGAAAUGCAUCUAUUUUGGAAGGCUUGGUCGAUAUUACAUUCUACAACUGUAACAACUGUCAGCGGCUUCCUCCACUUGGUAAAUUACCUUGUUUAACCACUCUUUAUGUAUUUGGAAUGAGAGAUUUAAAGUACAUUGAUGAUGACAUAUAUGAAUCUACAUCCAAGAGGGCUUUCAUUUCAUUGAAGAAUUUAACUCUGCUUGGUUUACCAAACUUAGAGAGGAUGUUGAAAGCGGAAGGCGUAGAGAUGCUACCACAACUUUCCUACUUUAACAUUUCAAAUGUUCCCAAGUUGGCAUUGCCAUCCCUUCCAUCUAUUGAACUCCUUGAUGUUGGUGAAAAUAAAUACCGGUUCUUGCCUCAAUAUAAAGUUGUGAGUUUAUUCCCAGAGAGAAUUGUGUGUAGUAUGCAUAAUCUUAAAUUACUUAUCAUUGGCAACUUCCAUAAACUCAAGGUAUUACCUGAUGAUCUUCACUGUCUUAGUGUCCUUGAGGAGCUUCACAUUUCAAGGUGUGAUGAACUUGAGUCUUUUUCGAUGCAUGCGUUGCAAGGUAUGAUUUCUCUUCGAGUUUUAACCAUUGAUUUAUGUGGUAAAUUAAUAUCCUUGUCAGAAGGUAUGGGAGACUUGGCUAGUCUUGAGAGACUUGUAAUCCAUGGUUGUUCACAACUUGUUUUACCAAGUAAAAUGAACAAGCUGACUUCCCUUCGUCAAGUGAAUAUUUCCCACUCCGGUAGAAACAACCGGAUAUUACAGGGCUUAGAAGUUAUCCCCUCCCUACAAAAUUUGACUCUAUCAUACUGUGAUCACUUGCCGGAAUCAUUGGGAGCCAUGACUUCUCUUCAAAGAGUAGAAAUCAUUUCGUGUACAAAUGCAAAGUCGCUACCAAAUAGCUUUCAAAAUCUCAUAAACUUGCAUACAUUGCUUAUUGUUGGAUGUUCUAAGUUGGAGAAACGAUGCAAGAAAGGAACUGGGGAAGAUUGGCAAAAGAUAGCUCACGUUCCUGAAUUGGAGUUAAUUGCAAAAAAAACAUACUAGAUGCGUAAUUGGAAGGAGGAAGAUAGAAAUAUUUUGCGCCAUCGUUAUCAGGCUAUCGAGAUAUCUUCGAGGAAUGAGUUUCAAUGUAUAGUUGAUGCAUUGUGAAUGAACUUAAUGGGAUAUAUAGAUAACAAUCGUAUAUAUGCAUAUUGUAGAUUGAACUUAUGAUAGAGUAGUUCUAAACAUGCAUAUUGUGCAGAUGUGCAUUAUAUAGAUAGAUUCAGGAUGAAAUAUAAUCAUAGAAAGAUGUAAAUUAUUUAUAAGAUCAACACACUUGGGUCUUAUCAUUAAUUGUUGUUCCUACUCAGAAGCACUGUGGUCUUCAAUUGUUGAUUUUAAGAAUCAUCGUUGACAUAUUAUCAUUUCAUCAAUGUAGCUAGUUUUGAUUUGUACUGAUAUUUGAUGCAAGUGAAAUGUAACUAAUUGGUUAUUUCAUCAA